GGUUCAAGCAAUCCUCCUGCUUCAGCCUCCUGAGUAGCUGGGACUACAAGUUCACACCACCACCUGGCUAAGUUUUUUGUGAGUAGAGAUAAGGUCUUGCUAUGUUGCCCAGGCUGGUCUUGAACUCCUGGUCUCAAGUGAUCCUCCCACCUCAGCGUUCCAAAUUGUUGGGAUGACAGAUGUGAGCCACCACGCCCAGCCCAUACCCUGGUAUUCUUGAUCUCUUGUUUUUCAGUAGCAAGGCAGCUGCCUCGCUUCUGUGCUUUCUCCCCCUUCUCUCAACCCCAAGCCUGUCGAGUUUGGCACCUUCCCGUCAGGGCCCAUUCCAUGCAAGAGUCAAAGGGAAGAGCCCCUGCCUUGGCCAGUGUGGCAUCUGAUCUGCGGGCACUCGACCUUUGCCAAUUGAUCGCUUUGUGUGAGCUGUCAUGUGUGGCACAAACACAGACAAGCUCUCUGCCUUGAAAAUUUCAUUGAAAUGUAAGAUUUGCCCGAAAGUAAAGGUAGCAUAGGCUGGGCACAGUGGUUCAAGCCUGUAAUCCCAGGAUUUUGGGAGGCUGAGGUGGGAGGAUUGAUUGAGGCCAGGAGUGGGAGACCAGUCUGGGCAACGCAGUAAGACCCCGUCUCUACAGAAAAUUUUUUAAGUAGCCAGACAUGGUGGUGCACACCUGUGGUCCUAGCCACUCAGGAGGCUGAGGUGGGAGGAACACUUGAGCCCAGGAGUUCAAAGCUGUGGUGAGCCACGAUUGUGCCACUGCACUCCAGUGACAGAGUAGAGGCUUCAUGGAGGUGAUGCUACAGCUGGACCCUGGGAAUGAGUGGGUUGGGGGAGGCAGGGGCCCAGUGUUGCCAAGCUCAGAUGGUCUUGGGGAGCUGGGGUGUUCAGGGAAGAGACAUAGUAGCCUGCUUUGGUCAGAGCAGGCAGUUUGUAUGGGUGAGAAUGACUUUAACAAAUGGCCAAAGAAGGGUGAGGUUUCUGAAGGUCUUGAAUGGUAACUAGGCAGAGAUCUUUGCUGAGAAGCAAUAGGAAUUUCUUAUUACAGGGUAUGCUGGUGGGUGGAUGGCCUAUGAACAAGAGGCAGUGGCUGGCAUUUACUUAACAAGCUCCGAGCACAUAGCACUUGUCCACCUGCUGUUUGGAGAGCAGCAGACCUUCAGUGGCCAAGUUGCUUGCUUGGCCUUUUCUAUAGCUGGGUUGCAGCCCCCUUCCCUCACAAGGACUGAAAGCAGCUGAGUCCAGGUGCAUGGUGAUGUGUGGCAGGCCUGGCCUUUGGCACGUUGCCUCCAAGCACGCAGCAAAGUCUGUCCGUAUGGAUGGAAAAGAGAGGCUAGGGAUGGGCCACCACUGGUGCAAAGAAUAAUGAAAGCUUCAAGUAGGCUCAAAGGAGAGAUUGGGUCAGCCUUCCCAAUCCCGUAACUUUCCAAUAAAAGCAUCAUGCUCCAAGGCCAAGAUGAGGAUCACUUGAGGCCAGGAGUUUGAGACCAGCCUGGGCAACAUGGCAAGACCCCCAUCUCUAUGAAAAAUAGAGAUAAAAAGAAGAAAUAAAAAAGUGUGUCCCUUUCCCACUGAGCAAAAGCAUCCUCCUGAGGACCCCAGGUGUGUUUUGAGUGUCAAUUCUGGCCGGGUGCUGUGGUGUGGCCAUGAUCGACAACACAGUCCUUGUCCACAAGGAAGUUAAAAUCUUAAGGAAAGCGAGACUGUUGUGGUCCAGCUGAACAUGCCUGUGCAUUGAGACCUAAAGCUCAUAGAGAUGCUCACUCUAGGGGACCAUCACAGUUUGGCCCCUGCCACCCUCCAACAUCACCAAAACCACUGUUGUUGCAAUUGGGGAACACUCUGACAACUGUUGGACAGAUACCACAUGCCAAGACCCAGAAGAGACAAAUGCAUGUUUUUAGCUAUGUUGUGUAUUCUCAAAGAGCUUACAACCUGAUCAGGAGACGAGAAGUAUUCCAAGUAGUAAAUGGUCAUUGGAAAUACAAAGCAAUACUUAUGUGCUUGUCCAUUGAAUGGAGGGGAGGCUGUGCAUGUCCCAAGUUAGAGGAAUCUGAGGUUUGAGAAGCCUUCACGAAGGAGGUGUGGCUUGAUAGGACUGGUAGGAUUCCUGCGUCAUGAAUGGCGUAAGGUACAGGAGCCCCCAGGAAUAGGUCAACUGGAGAAAUGUGGAUGCUGUUAGGCUUUCUGUGCACAAAUGAAGAGGCUGGCCUAGCAGUGGAGAUGGGAAUGGGCUGUAUUGAGAAGAAAGACUGACACCCUUGGGUGAGGUAGAGGGAGGAGGGAUGUGUUGAAGGUUUCUGGUCCAGGAGAUCCAGGCAAGA
rnacentral:lncRNA from 1 species